GACGAACGCUGGCGGCGUGCCUAAUACAUGCAAGUAGAACGCUGAAGGAGGAGCUUGCUCUUCUGGAUGAGUUGCGAACGGGUGAGUAACGCGUAGGUAACCUGCCUGGUAGCGGGGGAUAACUAUUGGAAACGAUAGCUAAUACCGCAUAACAGUAGAUGUUGCAUGACAUUUACUUAAAAGGUGCAAUUGCAUCACUACCAGAUGGACCUGCGUUGUAUUAGCUAGUUGGUGGGGUAACGGCUCACCAAGGCGACGAUACAUAGCCGACCUGAGAGGGUGAUCGGCCACACUGGGACUGAGACACGGCCCAGACUCCUACGGGAGGCAGCAGUAGGGAAUCUUCGGCAAUAGACGGAAGUCUGACCGAGCAACGCCGCGUGAGUGAAGAAGGUUUUCGGAUCGUAAAGCUCUGUUGUAAGAGAAGAACGAGUGUGAGAGUGGAAAGUUCACACUGUGACGGUAGCUUACCAGAAAGGGACGGCUAACUACGUG
rnacentral:rRNA from 1 species